rnacentral:rRNA from 1 species
UACGUAGGGGGCAAGCGUUGUCCGGAUUUAUUGGGCGUAAAGAGCGUGUAGGCGGCCAGAUAGGUCCGUUGUGAAAACUCGAGGCUCAACCUCGAGACGCCGAUGGAAACCAUCUGGCUAGAGUCCGGAAGAGGAGAGUGGAAUUCCCGGUGUAGCGGUGAAAUGCGCAGAUAUCGGGAGGAACACCGAUGGCGAAGGCAGGUCUCUGGGCCACUACUGACGCUGAGAAGCGAAAGCAUGGGGAGCGAACAGG